UACUUUAAGACCCAAUAGUCUUAGAGGAGACUUUAACUUUUACUAUAGUAAUUUUAUGGUAAGAUACUUGUUCUUUUACUCAAGUAUCACUUUGAGGUAGUUGAUACAACACUGUCAGUUUGCAUGUUGUGGUGUUUGUGUGGGUUUCCUCCCACAGUCCAGAAACACACGUUGGUCUGCCUUCAGGUGCAGCGCACCUUGAACCUGAGAUCUGUGAAAAGUUCAUCUGAUCACAAAAACACAUCAUUAUUACCAAACAGACAUUUAGAAGCUAAUUUCUGCCAAAAAUAUUUAAACCCCACUGGACAAAUUAAAAAAUCUGCUAAAUUGUGAGUCCACUUCCAAAAAAGUCCAGACCAGUGCAGGAAGUGAGCUCCACUUUCCUCUAACUUUUGUUCUUAUUCCUCAGCGUGUCAUUGUUCAGUGGAUCUGCAGCUCUCAUCAGAUUAUUCUUCAUCUCAAAGACAACAACUGGUCCUUCAAUGAAACAUAAAGCCUCUGUGAUCAAAAUAAGUGUUUGUUCUGUUUUAAACACAUAACGUCCUGACAUUAUUAUUCCAACAGUGUCUUCAUGGAAGUGGAAGCGUGGCCCAGGAGCGUCUUUCUGUGUUUAUUCAGGUGAAAGAGUCUUCGGUAUCGAUCGUGGGAAAAAAAAAAACCCUACUGGAAGCCCGUGCUGCUGCCUGCCGGUGUUGACUCGGAGAGUGGGAAGCAGGAAAAUCGAUUCGACCAGAUGCUGCUUUAUUCUCAAAGGGAACGGAGUUACUGAAGCGUAGAAAGGAUCCAAUCAGCUGAUACAGACGCCCUGUGGAGGUACUGCAGGUUUAGAAGAGAAUCCAGGUGUGUUUACAUGUUCYAUCUGACCUGAGAAAUCAGCUAAAAGUCGCCCCGAGGGAGCCGAAGAACACGACAGGUCUGACUUCCUCCUAUAUUUCUGUCCUUGAUGUAAAGUCAGAAGAAGUGUUGCUUGGAGGCUGGAUGUGUGCCAGAGUGAAGAUUAGACCUGUUAGKGAGUAAACACCACACUGCUCCAUCUCUGUUCCAUCAGCAUCAAAUUUCACCAAAAACUGAUUUUCUUUUUCUCGUCUCACAAAAACAUUUCUGUACUGAGGUCUUGGUUCUCUUUCAGUUUGGGUUUUAUUCACACUUAUAAAAUAUAUCUUUACCAUUCGGAAUGUUUGUCAAAAAUUUUGGAGAGGUACAGGUAGGGGCGGAGCCAGAGGGGCCACGGCCAAAUGAUUGACAAGUGGGGUAGUCUUUGCAUGUAGCAUGAAACUUUUUUUUUUUUGCUAGCUGGGUUAGCUUUCAUAAUAUCAUGGGGAUUGCUCUUGGCUACCACCAAAGCAAAUUUCAGCUCAGUAUUUCUAAAAAAGGCUGAGUUGUUGGCAUUUGAAUUAGUUUUGGCGGCCAUGUUGGAUUUUGUAUUUGAAAUCAGAUUGUUUCUCAGCUACUACAUGUUGGAGAAAAAACUUGUUUUUUUCUGUAUUGUUACCCACAGAGAUGAUAAAAAAAAAGAUGUGGACGUUCG